CCUGGCUCAGGACGAACGCUGGCGGCGUGCUUAACACAUGCAAGUCGAACGGAGAUUCAGCAAUGGAUCUAAGUGGCGAACGGGUGAGUAACGCGUAGGCAAUCUGCCUUCUAGAUGGGGACAACAUCCCGAAAGGGGUGCUAAUACCGAAUGUUGUAUGAUCUUCGCAUGGAGAUGAUACUAAAGGUGGCCUCUGAAUAUGCUACCGCUAGAAGAUGAGCCUGCGUCUGAUUAGCUAGUUGGAGGGGUAACGGCCCACCAAGGCCUCGAUCAGUAGCCGGUCUGAGAGGAUGAACGGCCACACUGGGACUGAGACACGGCCCAGACUCCUACGGGAGGCAGCAGUGGGGAAUCUUCCGCAAUGGACGAAAGUCUGACGGAGCAACGCCGCGUGAGUGAAGAAGGUUUUCGGAUCGUAAAGCUCUUUCGUUAGGGACGAACGUGCUCUUUGUGAAUAAUGAGGAGUAAUGACGGUACCUAAAUAAGAAGCCACGGCUAACUACGUGCCAGCAGCCGCGGUAAUACGUAGGUGGCAAGCGUUGUCCGGAAUUAUUGGGCGUAAAGCGCGCGCAGGCGGGAUAUCAAGUCUGUCUUAAAAGUGCGAGGCUCAACCUCGUGAGGGGACAGAAACUGGUAUUCUUGAGUGUCGGAGA
rnacentral:rRNA from 1 species